UUGGGUUUGUGUUUGUGUUUCAUCCGUAGUCGGAUGUUGUUCUCAUGUAUGAUGUUUGAUGUAUUUUUGUGGCAUUUGUAUGCCUUGUAUGUAUCCCCAACUAUUAUCUAAUGGUGCGAUGUAAUGAUAUGCACCUUGCAAAAGCGUUUCAAUAUGCAGCUCUAUCCUUGGUGGGACCUUCAAGUUCCUCUCGGAUAGGAUCGCAUAUCGCGCGUGACAAGUUGGUAUCAGAGCCUCGACGGACCAUAGGAGCCCCCUUGAUUGAUCAUAGUUGGCCGUCGUCGAGUCUAGAAGAAAUCUUUUUCGGAGUCUAGUUAUCGGAGAGUAGGACUUAUUUUUACUCCUCAGCCCCUUCGUCGCUCUGGUGAGAAAUCUUGACGUAGGUGUUUUGACUUGCUCCUCUUCCCUUUCAGAUUUUUUUAGGACCACACAGGCUUCUUUUGAUCAUUGUGUUCUCAAUCCUCUUUUCAUCCGGCGCACUUCUCUUCGAUUUGAUUCGACCCUCUUUGUCUUUUGCAAGGUCAGUGCUCAGUUCUUUCACAACAACGUUGUUUCCCCGUCCGAAGAUAAACAAUGUCGUAUGAAGUUGUUUUCUUUUCCCACCCACCCACCAUUUUUUCUUCUCAGAGCCAGAGUCCGUAAUCGAGUAUCCAUCCUACUCGUGCGUAGCCUUUGCAUUCUUUCCUUAAUUAUUUCAGUUAUUCAUCGGUUCCCCAUUCCAAGUUGCCUUUGUUUUACCUUCCCUCCCACCCCUUCUUCUUCCCUGAGUCUGAGCCUCUAUUCGAGCACCAAUUUCAUUCGUGCAGAGCCUCUUUGGUCUUUCCUCAAUUGUCUCAAUCGGUGAAUUCUCGUUGACUUCAUCAUUAUUUGUCUCGUUUUCCUUUUCGGGUAUCCAAUUCAAUUUUUUGGUGUUGAUCGUAUUCUUUGCCUGGGCUCAAAUGUUUCCCCUUGCUCAUUCACCUCUCUCCAUUUAGUCCUUCCAGAGUGCUCAAAACAUCUGAGAAGAUUCAUGUUUGCCUUCAAUUAUUUCGAGGUUGUCACCUCAUUCAAGUCUUUGAAUUGUUCCGGUGCAUCAUCUCUCUUUCACUCAAUCCUUCUCAAUGGUGUUUUCCUUUCAAGUGGGCCCUAACUCAUACGUCUUUUCCUAGGAUCUUACCUGACUCUUCCAAUUAUCUAGAGUUAUUCUCAAAUUGUUUUUGAAGUUUGACGUAAGAAUGAAUUUCGUUAGUCAGAUGCUUUUCCCAGAUUGAUUUCAAAUUAUUUUCAUUGUUGGCUCGACCAUUUCGCUUUUCAUUCUCUCGGAGUGUCUCAACAAUUUUGGUGUUGUUCCUCGUCGUCAUUCUCAACGUUUGAAGACCGAAGAAUUGUUUCCUCUAAAUCUUGUCCAUUCUCUCGGAGAUUCAUGGUUCUAGCUUCAUGUUAUCCUCUCUAACCAUUCCGGUUGUCAGAAAUUCUUUUCUUACCCAUCGGGAGUAUUUCAAAAGUUGUUUUCUGUUUCGAUUAUCCGAAGGCCUUCAUUUCGGAAUAUUUCUUCGUUCCAAGUUUUUAGCUUUGUUCUCCAAUUAUUCUAAACUGAUGCCACUUCUUUAGUCAGCUUGUGAUAUCUUCGUUAUUUUGUCCCUAAAUCCCCUCAAGUAUAUUUGUUCUUUUAAUUCUUCAAAGUUAUUCAUUCUCUUUUAUUUGUCCGUUUUCAAAUUCUUCCGGUGGUUCAUUCAACAUUCCUAUUACUUUGUUAUCGUAUCAAUUCAUUCGUUGCUCCCAAAUCGCACCGAUGGUUCGUUGAAGACCUUCUCAAGUUUGCGCUAUGUCUCUCUUCAAUCCUUUUCAAGAAGAAUAAGUUGCAUGCCAAAUCCUUUUGUCAUCAAUUAAAAUUUGAUGAGGACAAGCAUAAUGUAAUUCUUAUUCUCAUUUCAUUAUGGUCAAGUAAUUCUUUUCUUCGAAGAUUGUUCAUGAUGAAUAAUUUCUCGGUUUUAAGUUGUUCAUAUUUUCUUAUCCAUAGUUCCAAGUUUUUCUUGGUUGUCUCAUCAUGAAGAUCCAUCCAAAUCAUCGCAAGGCUUCAUCUUUUUCUUUUCAACAUUCAUUUCUUUAAUCCUUUUGUUUAUCGGAGUUCUUCAUGGUGGUUCAUAAAGGAUUUAAUUCAUUCUUCAAGUCCACCAAGAAUCUUGUUGGAGCUCACGCAUCCCUCUUCUUGCACACUGAAGUGCAACUAAUUCUCCUUGUCUUUAAGACAUGUUGUUUCACAUCUUUUCUUUCGUCUCCAACAAACAAUCGUUUCUGUUUGUGCGCGGUUAUCACCUCAUAAUUUUGAGAUGUUUCCCAUAAGCCCACAACAAGCUUAUUCUUUUUGUUGUUGAUUUUCCAACAACUCCAUUCAAUCCUUCCUUGCAAGGAUGCUUCAGAAUACAAUUAUGGUGGAAGUUGUCUUUUGAUCCUCCUUUUCUUUUCCUUUCAACAAGUUGCCUUCUAUUCUUCCGUUCCGGAGGCAGUGUGAUGUUGCUCUUUUCAUCCAUCAUCUAGUUUAUUCCUUGCUUAUCCAUUUUACCAGAGUGUGAAGUCCUCUUUUGAAGUCCUUUUUCUUGCCAAUAUCUGCUUUCCUUUCUACUCGGACGCUAUCUGUAUUCUUCCAUUCUUAUUCCUUUUCUACCUUGUUCUAACCAGAGUGGUUUCACAGUCUAUCUUAUGACCUGAGCUUUUGAUUCUUGUCAUAAUCGCCGUUCCUCUUUUCUAACCGAGUGCUCUUGACUUUCUUCAUCUUCUCUCUUGCGUUCUUAUUUCACCUCAUCCUCUUUUCUUCCGUCUCGCUCUUAAGAUCUCGGGACGAGAUCUCUUGUUAGUGGGGGAGUGUUGUGACGCCCCAAGACCGAUGCUCCAGAUGACUUCCAUUUAUUUUGGUUGUCGCCAUGUGUUUAUUGUAUUUGUUGCAUUAUCGUAAUUGGUUUGCAUGUUUCAUUCCUAUAUGUUUGUUCCCAUGUUCAUGUUGAGUGCUUUGUCAUAUCUUUGCUUCUUGCACCAUGCUUAUCUCACUUGUUAUGUUGCAUUGUCCGCUUGUCAUUUUUGCAAUUCAUCAUGCUCAUCAUGUGCAUUGUGAGAUUCAUCUUGUUACUUUACUUGCACUGUGUUUGUCAAUGUUGCUUUCCCUAUGCAUAUGUCCCAUGCAUCAUCCCCUCCUUCCUUCUUCUUUCAUUCAUUUUUGGCAAGUGACAUUUUCCCCUCCUCCAUAAAUGUUCAUUCUUUUCCUAUAAAUUCUCAACCCUGCCUUCAACAUCUCUGCCAAAUUUCAUCUCCUUUGGACUUGUUUUGGUUGGGUUAAAAAAUGGAUCAAGUUUGAAUUUAAUUCAAACUUGAAUUAUUUUCCUAUCUCUGAAACUAUCCAAACCAUUUUACGCAAAUUGUGCACGAUAUAUAUAUAUAUAAGUCUAUUCCUUUUCCUUCCUAAAGCCCCUGCCUUUUCCCCUUUCUAUGCGGUGUAUAUAAAUCGUAGGAAUUUUUAAAAAGGAAUAGGCCCUGAAACCCCCUGGAGAAGCCCACCUGGGCCUCUCUUUCCCUCCAGCCUAGCCGAACCUAGCGUCCAACUACUCCCUCCUGACGCUGUCUCCUUCUUCCAGGCAAACAGCAGCAGCGCCGUGAGCAGGAGGCUCACGGACGUCGAUGCCAGCAUGUCCCGCACCCCUAUAAAACCCUGUAGUGACACCUAGGGUUUCCUCCUCCCUCCUCGUGCCGCCAUCUCUCUUCCUCCCCUCUAUUUUCCUUUCUUCUUCAAGAACAAAGAACAUAGGGCACCCGAGAGAAUAAAACCAUUGGCGUCCGUCGUCGUCCUCACGUCUGGCCUGCGCCAGGACCCUCUGCGGCAUGUCGUCCUACACCCCGUCACCCUCCUUGAACGAUCAUUGGAGUUAGUUGGGCGGGAGCCUCCCUAACGCGCCUCCCUGCUGUCGCCGCUGCCAUGUCCGGUCGUGCCAAGCCGAGCUCUAGCCCAGCGUCGUCCACGUUGCCGGCGGCCUUCUUCUUCCUCUAGAGCGACCCCUCGCAUGGCCUCCCCAAGCCGGAUCGCCAAGUCCAGCGCCAGGUAGCCUCCCCUGCUUCCUCUGCUUUACGAGCAGCAUCACUCGACGAGAUCCUCGCCACGCCUCGGAUCGGCCUUCUUGGGCCCGUCCGAGCUCACCUUCCGCAUCUCCUCGGUGAGCCGCAUCGAAUCCCCUCUUUUACUGCUUCUCUACAUGCAUGUAGUCACCGAUCCCGUCGUGUUUGAGCCGUUGUUGCCAUGCUAUCGCCAUGGCCAUUUUGAGCCAAGUCCAUGCCUUGUUUGCCGCACACCCGCACGUCGUUUCUUUUGCAUCCUCCUGCACAAUCCCGCAUGCACGCUCGCGCGGCACGCGCAAUAGCCGCAGAGCACCAUCCGCGUGGCUCCGGUCGUCUUCUUCUCCAUGUCUGGGGCGAGCUGUAGCUCAUGCCCGAACACCUGCGCAUUCACACAUGCAUGCGCACGUCCCGUAGCCACACUGCCUCCCAAUCCCGCACCCCCGCCGGUGCUCCAUUGCUCCGGUGGUCGCUGCCAUUGCUUGCCGGCACCGCCGCCAUCUUCCUGUGCGCGGUGUAGAGCAGGGCGCAACCUUCUGGCAAUGGUUCAAAACGGGCCAGGCGCCAUUCACUUUGCAAACUCCUCCCUCUAGCAUAGUGGUCAGCGCCCCUCUGUUCUACCUAGGAGUCCUGGGUUUGAGUCCCAGUCUCAACUAGUUUUGUUGUGGCCUUAUAUUUUAUCACUAUGGCUAUGACACCUUGGCCCCACUGUCAUACACACACGCGCACAACCCCCUUUUCUUUAUUUUUUUCUUCAUAUUUCCUGAAAUUCCAUUUCUGGAAAUUGGCAUCUUUCCAAAUCGGGCAGGUUCUAAUCUGGACAUUCCAUAUCUGGCAUUUUCCUUUUCCGUCUGUUUCCAUUUAAGGCAAUAGAUGACUUAUAGCAUUUGUGCGCAUUUUCAUAUAGCAACAUAUACAUAUUAUAUAUCAUUUUGGGGUAGAAAAAUCCCACCAAUCCAUUAGUGGCAUCCAUUUCAUCAUUUGGGCAAAUUGUAAACAUGUUAUUUUUGCAGCAUAUGCCAUUUUAGAAUUUUUACAUGUUUUUGUGUGAUUUUCAUAUGAGCUAUAUCAUGACAUGAAUUGGAGCACAAACAUGCCAUCUUACUGCUAGAUUUUGUUUCAUACCACGAAAUGCAUUGUAAUGAGCGCUACAAGCUUGCAAACAUGUCUACUUGAAUAUGUUUUGCCAUGCCCUAUUUAUUUUUGCUAAGUCUGAAAUUGCUUAUAUGACUUCACAUUUUGCAUUGAUGCUACCAUCAUAUCUAAGGGCUUAUGGAACAUGUUCAGUGAGGAUGUUUUGUUAAGGGUGUUUAGUACAUGCUUGCCAUGCUGUUUGUUGCCAUGAAAAGUUCCUAUAGCAUAUACUUUUGUUGUCUCAAAGUAUACAUCAUGAAUAUGUUUUCAGCCUUACUCUGUUUUUCACGAAGUCGGAGAAUCUAUUAUAACUUGCAGGUCUUGUCUUGAUGAAUGCCAUUGAUCUAGGCGUUAUAUGUAGAUGCUUAUUAAUAAUGUUUUUCCAUGUUUAAGCUGUACUUUGAUGCCAUGCUUUUGCUUUGAAAGUGCUAGUGAUCGACUAGAGGGGGGGGUGAAUAGGCGAUUUUUAUGAAAGUCUUCAAAACAUGGAAGUUUCGAAGACAAACGAUAGAAAUAAACCUAUUAUCAUGCAGCGGAAGCUAGACUACCCUAAGCAAGCCAUAGUCAAGUAUUCAAUGAAGUGAAAGCACAACAACUAAUAGCAGCUAGGCAGUAUAGAUCAUGUUGGAAGAUAGUGUGAAGCCAAUCAGAACAAGCGGUCACUUAGUGAAGACAAAAGAUAAUGCAAUCAUACAAUGACUUCACUAGAGCCAACAGUAAGUAAAGGAAUGGGAAGGAUGAAACCAGUGACUCGUUGAAGACAAUGAUUUGUUGGACCAGUUCCAGUUGCUGUGACAACUGUAUGUCUGGUUAGGGAGGCUGAGAUUCAACUCAGAAGACCGUGUCUUCACCUUAUUCCCCUUGAGCUAAGGACACCCAGUCCUCGCCCAAUCACUCUUCCAAACCUUCAAAGCCUUCGUUCAUCGGCGAUCCACAAUGACUCUUGGAUGCUCAGAAUGCGACGCCUAACCGUCUGGAGGAUUCACAGUCCUCAAGUGUAAUAAGUCUUCAGAUCACACAGACAGGAAGACUUAAGUGAUGCCUAACACUCUUUGGCUCUUGGUGUUUAGGGCUUUAUCCUCGCAAGGAAUUCUCUCUCAAAGGCUUCGAGGUGGGUUGCUCUCAAACGACAGAAGCCAUACACUAACGCUGAGCAGCCAACCGUUUAUGGUUUUAGGUGGUGGGCUAUUUAUAGCCACUUGGCAACCCGACCCGAUUUGUCCAAAAUGACCCUGGGUCACUAAGGAACUGACACGUGUUCCAACGGUCAGAUUUCAAACACACACAACAACUUUGCUUGAGCUACAAGCAAAGCUGACUUACCCAGCUCUGGAUAAGAUUUGCUCUCAUUGUCUUCGCUCGAAGACAUAGGAUUUUGGUUAAGCAUCACUUCAGUCAUUCUGACUGGUUCACUUGGACCCCACUUCACAGUACGGUGGUUCCUAUGACUCAACAAAGAAGAAAAGGAACGACGAAACAACUAAGUCUUCGCGCUCCAUAGUCUUCACUAGAUGUCUUCUCUUGUCAUAGUCUUCAAUGUGACUGUCUUCACAUACCACCUUUGACUUCAAUGUCUUCAUACAUUUUUAGGGGUCAUCUCUGGUAGGAAAACCGAAUCAAUGAGGGACUUCUAGCUGUGUUAUCCUGCAAUUCUCACAAGCACAUUAGUCCCUCUACCAGGUUUGUCGUUAAUACUUGAAAACCAACUAGGGGUGACACUAGAUGCACUUACAAUCUCCCCCUUUUUGGUGAUUGAUGACAAACUGGUUGAAGUUUUCAACGGGGAAUAAAAUAUGUGAAAUUGUAAAGGAUAGGGUACUGUCUUCAUAAGUUGCAAGGUCUCCCCCUGAAGAUGUGCAUAUAAGUAAUUUGAUUUUGGAAUGCAAAUGCACAUGACAGGUUGUACUUGUGGAGAUCCUCUUCAACCUAUGAUAACAAUUCAUCAUGCAUGAUAUGACGUAACGAAGAUAAUGACAUGCAUAAUGGAAAAUGGACAUAUGCAAAAUGAUCUGAGUGUGGAAUUUAUCGUCGCACAUGCGGAAUUUAUCAUCGCAUCACAGAAUAGCAAAUAAGUAGCAGACAACCAUCGAGUUUAAGUGUUACAACUCAAAGAACCAAAUGUAUCGAAAACGAGAGUUGUAAGAACUUGGCAAAAGUGGCAAAAAGUAAAGCAUCCACCCAUAUUAACCCGCUUGAAGACUAUCAACUCAUAUGCUUCUCCCCCUUUUGUCAGCGAGGACCAAAAAGGUUUGAAGACAUAGAGCGCCUACUCAUUCCCAUGAGGUGCAAGUGAGGCAGCAGGGUCAUCGUUGAGGUCCGGUGGUGCAGUGUCGACACGCGCUGAAGUUGGAGGAGGUGAAGUUGCAUCAUCUUGGUCAUCGAUGACUCUAGCAUUCACUGUCGCAGCUGAGGACGAGUAGUCAGAGUCUUCAAGUGAGGGAGUCCGACGCAAGUGAGCAUUUCUGGGAGGAGUUGAGUCAAACUUGAACCGCUCGGUGAAGCCAUCGUCUUGUAGAUCAACUUCAGCACUAAGUAAGGUCAAACUCUUCCACGACCUUCGACAGGUUUCAUGAGUGACAAAGGCAUUCUUGGUGGCAAGAUUGCGAAUGCGGUUGACAUCCACCAAGAGGCUUUGCAUCUGACGCUUAAGCCAGUCGUGAUGUUUGUCCUGUUUCUGAUGCACCGCGACAAGAAUCUCUCGGUCAUUUAGGACACGAGACCGUCUUCGAGGCCAUUGCGCAAUGGUUCUACCAGUGGCAUCUGUCUAAGCGCGAGGGGAACGUGUGUUACCAGCAAGAGGAUAAACACAAGAAACUGCUAAAUCUCCUUCAAUAUGCUGGGUGAAGCUUUGGUGAUCAACAUUCUGAAGAUAAAGGGGUUCCUUCGCCGGCUCUGGGUAAAUAGCUUCGAUUGACAUAUCAACCUCUAGCAAGAAUAUGAGAUGAUUGCGCGCAGACGGCUGAUAGUUGAAGGCGGAGUGACGCUUGAUAAGACGCAUGACCCAUGGAGCAGAGAAUUUCAACCCAAAGAUGUCGGAGCCAGAUGCAGCCAACAACCUGAUGAAGAAGUCUUGAGCAUUGAAGCUGAUGCCAUUGAAGAUAUAGAAAACCAAAGUCUUCAUUGCUCCUUCAAGCUUCACUGCAGAUGAAUGUCCUUUGACAGGCCAUAGAGUCUUCCUGAUGAUAUGGUAAAUGGUGCGAGGCAGGUACUCUAGGUCUUCAACAAAGAACUCAGAUGGGUAUUCAGCGCCGUGAGGCAGAGGCUUCAUCAUGCUCAGCAUUGGACUCAUGUUGGGUUCUGGCUUCUGAAAGAUGAUUUCCAAGGCAUUUUGGUGUUGUUGACAACCUGGUUCAUAGUAUUCACCAGGAGUGGGCAGGCCUGUGAGCUCAAUGAUAUCAAGAGCUUUAGCUUCAUGAUGGACAUUGCCUGUCAUCCACUCAAGGACCCAAGUCUUUGGAUCCCUGUUGUAGCCUCGAAUGUGGAGAGUUGCAUAGAACUAUAGCAGAAGCUCUUCAUUCCAAUGCUCUUUAUCUGUGACAAACUGCAACAGACCAGCAUCUUUGAAGCAAUAUAACGCUUCUUCAAGGCAGGGCAGGCCAGCUAUAGCUUCAGAGUCGAGGCGCAUAUGUGGAAAUAUGCACUCUUGAUUGUAUAGGAUGCAGGAAUAGUAGCUGCGCUGCUGAUAGCUCCAGAACCGAUCUGAUGAAAUGCGAGGUCUGGUAUAAGGGUUCUUGGAGCUGUUGAAGAAGGUUUUAUGUGCCACUAAGCCAUUCACAUUGAAGACCCCAGGUGAAGUGGCAGUUCCUGGGAAUCAUGGAAGUCUUGGCUUGGGCUUUUGGACUUGAGGUCUGUGCUCGACAUGAUACUCAAAUUGUGGACCCGCAACAGGUGGAGGAACCAGAACGGGCCAGCGGACCAUAACAGGCCGACCAUGAUCAAAUGCCAGCUCAAUUGUAUGAGGUCUUUGAGGGGGAACAGGAGCAUUGACAUUGUCUUCAUGGGCUUCAGGGGCCACAUUGGGUUCAAGUGCUUGUACCUCAGGUGCUUCAGCAUUGACUUCGGGUGCUGUAGUGGCUUCAGAUGCUUGGACUUCUGGCACUGUAGUAGCUUCAGGCAUCGUAUUAGCUUCAGCCAUGACGACGUCAUUGGCUUCAGCGGUGAUGUUAGUGGUUGCCUCAGGGUUGUUAACCUCCACUUCAGGAGCUGGAGGCUUGGACACGUUCUCCUCGAGAACAACAUCUUGGUGGGACAGGGGUGUAGCAACUCUUUCAACUCUUGGUGCUUCUUCUUCAUCGGCUGAUGCAGCCAGAAUAUCUUCAACCAUUUUGGCUUCUGACUCAGACACGUGCAUAGUGGGAGUGACUUGGGGCCUUGGUCCUUUGCGAAGCCUGCGUAAUGCUGGCGACGCUUGUGGAGAUGGAGUGCGCUGGGCCUCAAAGUCAUCGUCUUCUUGCACUGGUGGGGUAGCUUGUGGUUGGGGAGAGCUUGGCGUGUCUUGUCGUUGUGGGUGAUUAGCCCACGAUGCAUCCUGAGCAGUUGGCAUCAUAGGACGACCAAUGCUGAUGAGUUCGCUGUGCGUGAGCACAGGCGAUGAUACCAAUUGGUGCUCGAUCUGAGGAAGGACUUCAUCAUCUGCAACAUUCUCAUGAGGACCAUUGUCUUUAGCUGCGGUGGGGUCAACAGCUAGAUUGUCUUCAGCUUCAGGAGCCUCUGGAGAAGCAGGCUCAUGAAUUACCACUUGGCAUUCUGGAUUUUCAGACGCAGGACGAGCCACUGAGAUUGGCUCGACAUUAAGGGGCUCUGUGGGAGCAGCCCGAUCUCGAUUCUUGGUUUUUCAUUUCUUGGUUGGAGGAGCAUCAUCAGUAGUGCCCUUGGUUUUGCGUAGCAGCCCUUGUUUUCUUCAGUUCCGAAGCCAUUGUGGGGACCUUAGGCUUCGAGCUUGUCAUACUGGCUGGGAAGACAAUUGGAUGUACUUCCUGCCUUGGUGCUUCAGGUUCUGCCACAGCUGGCUUCUUCUUCUUCUUGGCCACCAUUUGGGGGUCGAUCCCUGGUCACCCCAAGGCCUUGCGCUUUUCAGCCUCAAUGUACCCUUGGACACAUUUAGCGGAAGGAUCCUUCAUGCAUUCACGAGAACCCUUGGCUUCUUCACAUUUGGUUCGAAAAGCUUCCUUAAGCUCAUGCAUCAUGGUCUGGAAGUUCUGAAUGUCUUCAACGUCGAGCUUGGCCAUGUGCUUCUUGAACUGAGCCUUUUCAUAAUCGAUCUUAUGCUCCAGUUCAACAAUCUUCUGAGCUAGAGCCAGCUCAGCAGCAAUGGCUCCAUGGAAGGCGACGCUCAGGCCAAUCGGAAGCUGAAGAUCAUCAAAGCUGACAUUUGGGCUGUCAAACCAAUCAUCAAUGAAGGUGUCGAUGAUUUCAACAUCAAAGAGAGGAAGGUCAUUGAAGAUUUCUGCCUCUUGCUUCCUCUUGAUCAGCUGCUCAAGAGCAUCAUCACCAAGAUCGUCGUUGCUGGACAGAUCAAUGGCGUCAUUGCACAGAAUAGCAGCAGCAGUCAGUUAUUGGCUAGUGGGUUGCAAGGGCAUCUUCACUCUGGAGGGCUUGGAGAUGCGUGAAAAAUCUUCAGACUGCACACUGUGUUCAGGAGGUGUAGUGGCCAGAGGCUUCGCCUGUAAGACCUUUGGUGCAGGAGCAGGCUUUGAAGCUUUAGGCUUUUUCAGUUUCUUUAGCUUCGGUGGUGCAGGCGCUUCAUCAGAUUCAGCGUCGUCUGCAGGCUCAUCCACGGCUGUCCCUUGAACCAUGAUAUGAGUGAUGAGACCUUAUAGGUUGUAGAAGGGCCCAACAAGAUUGGGUUCAGCUUCGCGUGUGCCAUCGGCACAAGGAGUAGAGGGUUAAAGUCUAAGCCUCGUGACUUGUUGUUCUCUUUGGCCGAGUUCCUGGAAAACUAAAGGUUGCGCUUGAACAGAUUAUCGUCGCGGCACCACAGUAAUGAAGAUGGGUCUGCAUCUGCAGGCUGUGGCCACACACCAUGCAAGGGUAGAAGCCUUGUUCAAUGGCUUCAGCUCUGGACCUGGGUUGAAGAUUUCUGUAUAGAAUGUCUCCCCAUGGUCGUUUGAUGGCAUUCUUCUCAGCAUACUCUUGGGUCACGAACCUGUACUUGAACCACUGUUCUGCCCAAUAUCUUCGAAUCCAUUGGAUUCGAGUUUUUCGCUGAUUGUAGUCCUCCUCUGGAUCUGCCUUGUACACCACAUAGAGGUCAGGAGGCAAAUCUCUUGAGGUGUUGCCACGAUGCUGUCUGCCACCCUUCCUUGCAGAUUUCUCGGGUGCCAUGAAGUUUAAACUAAAAGGCUUCAAAGUUGUCAAAGUCUUCCGUCUACUGGUCAGACAAGAACUGGCUUCAGGAGAAUUUAUAUGAUGCUGUAAGAAUUCUGCAAAUGAAUGCAGACUAUGAGAACCAAGGGAUUCUCCCACGGACAUGUACCUGUGACAGCAUUAAGGUGCGAGGGAAGGGGAAGAGGUUAUAUGCAUUCUCAGAAGAUUUUGAAGAUAAAUCAGUUUAGAAGACAUUGACCUCAUAGUGCAAAGACAUUCACUCAUAGAUAGAGAGUUGGUUCCAGAUUUGUACAAAUCCACGAAUAAGUACAAGUGACGAAUCUAACUACUUUGUGAAGCAUAAGUGAACAUUCUAGGCAUAUUUAUGAGAUGCAGUAUGAAAUAGAUUCAACUUGUGUGAAUAGAAACUGCUUGUGGUAGAAAAUGAUGAAUCUAUAGGAUCAAAGGGGCCGUAAAAGGAGGUUUUAUUUACUACACAAAGAACUGCUAGACGAAGUGGAAGGGGAGGCCGAGCAGUUCGAAUCUUCCAUGCCCUAACUUGGUGACGGAGGACACCUACGGCGACGACGGAGAAGACGAUGUCCGCAGUCGGCGUGAAGACGACAUCGGUGAGGUCGCGGCAGCAUAGCGCUUCGUCGCCGGCAUCGUCGAGGGAUAGCGGUGGCGCUAGGGUUUGUGCGAGAGUGGAAGAAAGGAUAAUGACUGUGGUGAGGCGUGUAUUUAUAGGGAUAGGGACGACACAGUGUUAUUACACAGGUGCCCCUGGCGAUUCACAUCUGAAGGACAUGUGGCUAUCAUGCAACACAUCGGAGGUUGUUCCAUGUUCCCACACACGCUUAGAUUGUCGAGUGGUCGUUCCCACUUCUUCGGGUUUCAGGUGAAAGGAUUUAGCAUUGAAAAUGGAUUAAUGUUUGUCUCUGUGUCUUCUGCUGACAAGGAUGCAGAGAAGACAUUUUGAUAGUGUCAAUUGAAUGCAUAUGAUUUGGAUAGAUAGACUUGAGAUAGAAGCAUAGAGGGGUUAGGGUCCGAUCACAUUCACUUAGGUCAAAAGAUUCAAUGUGAAGACAUAGCUAUAAGUGAAUGUUGUAGAGGAUAGAAACCAAAUUGAAGAUAAACAUGAGAACUUUUAAUCAUUGAAGACAAACAAAAUGCGAAGACUUUGCAAAUGUAACGCCAUGAGAUAGACACUUCAUAGGGAAAAUGUUGGUGGUGGCGUUACCCACCGUAUAGGAAAUAUUAGACCCAGACAUGGCGCACAAUUAUCGUGGUGCUCUGAAGUCAAAUUCCACAUUAAUAUAUUCACACUCAGAAUGUAAGUCUUCAUUGUUUGAAGAUAUACUUUACUUCGUGUGUUGCACAUCUAAGUCGCCAACAUGCUUAAGUGUUAGGAUGUGUGCCUAAUCACAGGACAUUUGAGGAUUCCAAGAUAUUUAGCUCACACCAUAACUUGCAAAACCUCUUCUCAUCCAAGGGCUUGGUGAAGAUAUCUGUCAAUUGCUCUUCAGUGUUGACGUGUAUGAUAUCAAUAUCUUCCUUCAUAACAUGAUCUCUGAGAAAGUGAUGACGAAUUUCAAUGUGCUUUGUCUUCGAGUGCUGAACUGGGUUGUUGGCAAUCUUGAUGGCGCUUUCAUUGUCGCAAUAGAGUGGCACUUGCUUCAGAUGAAUGCCAUAGUCUUUGAGUGUUUGCUUCAGCCAUAGAAGCUGAGCACAGCAAGAUCCAGCAGCAAUGUAUUUAGAUUCAGCCAUGGAGAGAGAUACACAGUUCUGCUUCUUUGAAGACCAACAUACAAGUGAUCGUCCCAGAAAAUGACAUGUGCCUGAUGUAGACUUGCGAUCCACCUUGUCACCAGCAUAAUCAGCAUCCGAGAAUCCAGCUAGAUCAAACUCCGAGCCCUUUGGAUACCAUAAUCCUAGUGUUGGGGUGUGAGCCAAAUAUCUGAGAAUUCGCUUGACAGCUAAGUGAUGCGAUUCCUUUGGUGCCGCAUGGAACCGGGCACACAUGGAAACACUAAGCAUGAUAUCUGGCCUAGAUGCACAUAAUAAAGCAAGGAACCAAUCAUGGAGCGGUAUACCUUUUGAUCGAACUCUUUACCAUUGUCGUCGGGACCCAGAUGGUGUUUGGCUGGCAUUGGCGUCAUGUAGCCUUUGCAGUCUUGCAUUCCAAAUUUCUUCAGGCAAUCUUUGAGGUAUUUCUCUUGGGAUAUGAAGAUGUCGUUGCGUUGCUGACGUAUUUGAAGACCAAGGAAGAACUUCAGCUCACCCAUCAUGGACAUUUGAUAUUGCUCUUGCAUCAUGUAUCCAAACUCAUCACUGUAUUUCUGAUUAGUGCAGCCGAAGAUAAUGUCAUCCACAUAUAUUUGGCACACAAACAGUUCACCAUCAUAUGUCUUCGUGAAGAGAGUGGGAUCGAGAGAGCCAGGUUUGAAGCCUUUGCUCUUCAGAAAGUCUUUGAGUGUGUCAUACCAAGCCCGAGGGGCUUGUUUGAGGCCAUACAGUGCCUUGUUGAGCUUGUACACCAUGUCAGGAUGUUUUGGAUCUUCAAAGCCAGGUGGUUGUGCAACAUACACUUCUUCUUCAAUCUUGCCAUUGAGAAAAGCGCUCUUCACAUCCAUUUGAUAUAGAAGAAUGUUAUGAUGAUUUGCAUAGGCCAGCAAUAUGCGUAUAGCUUCAAGCCUAGCCACAAGCGCAAAUGUUUCAUCAAAGUCAAUCCCUUCAACUUGAGUGUAUCCUUGAGCAACGAGACGAGCUUUGUUUCCGACAACUUGACCAUGCUCAUCGUGCUUGUUGCGAUAUAUCCACUUAGUGCCUAUUAUAUUGUGCUUGCGAGGACCAGGACGCUUAACCAGUUCCCACACAUUAUUCAGCUCAAACUGUUGAAGCUCUUCUUACAUAGCUUGAAUCCAUUCAGGUUCCAUGAAGGCUUCAUCAACUUUCUUGGGUUCAGAUAUUGAGACGAAUGCGAAGUUCCCAUGGAAGUUAGCUAGCAGUGUUGCCCUUGAACGAGUGAGUGGACCUGGUGCAUUGAUGCUGUCAAUUAUCCUUUCAAUCUGUACUUCAUUUGCAACACGAGGAUCGACAGGACAAAGAUUUUGCUCUUGCUUAUCAUUAUCAUCGUUAGAAGGAUUGUCUUCAGGAUGAGCAUUGUCUUCAGAUUGAUCAGGUGCAGAGAUGAUAAGUUCCUCUUCAGGCUGAGCUUCAGAUGGUAUGAUUUCUCCAGUUGCCAUAAGUUUGAUUGAGUCACUGGAUGGAACUUCAUCUAGCACAUUUGGUAGGUGCUCUCUUUGCGAGCCGUUAGUCUCAUCGAACCGCACAUCCACAGUUUCAACCACUUUAUAGUGAAAGAGGUUGAAGACUAUGUAGGAGUGCGAAUCCUUUCCAUAUCCAAGCAUAAAACCUUCAUGUGCUUUCGGUGCAAAUUUUGAAGUGUGAUGUGGAUCCUUGAUCCAGCACCUGGCGCCAAAUACUCUGAAGUAACUGGCAUUUGGCUUCUUGCCAGUAAGGAGCUCAUAGGAUGUCUUGUUCAGAAGCUUGUGAAGAUAAACACGGUUGAUGAUAUGGCAUGCAGCACCAAUGGCUUCAGGCCAGAACUUUCUUGGAGUCUUGUAUUCAUCAAGCAUCGUCCGGGCCAUCUCAAUAAGUGUUCUGUUCUUGCGUUCCACGACGUAAUUCUGCUGCGGCGUGUACGGAGUUGAGAAUUCAUGUGUGAUGCCCAAAGUAUCAAGAUAACUAUCUAGGCCAGUGUUCUUGAAUUCAGUGCCAUUGUCACUUCUGAUGUGCUUGAUCUUGACGCCAUAGUUGUUCAUGGCUCGAUUGGCGAAGCGUCUGAAGACAUCCUGCACUUCAGUCUUGUAGAGGAUUAUAUGCACGAAAGUAUAUCUUGAAUAAUCAUCAACAAUGACAAAGCCAUAGAGACAAGCAGUAGUAGUAAGAGUUGAGUAAUGAGUGGGACCGAAAAGGUCCAUGUGGAGCAGUUCGAAGGGUUGCGUCGUUGUCAUGAUUGUCUUCGAGGGAUGCUUGGCCCUCGUCAUCUUUCCUGCUUCACAGACACCACAUAAGUGAUCCUUCUUGAACUUGACGCCCUCGGUGCCUAUGACAUGAUUCUUCUUUGCAAGGGUGUGCAGGUUCCUCAUGCCAGCAUGCCCUAGCCUCCGAUGCCAGCGCCAACAUUCAGAAGCUUUUGCUAGAAGACAUACGUCAAGUUGAGGUCCUGCUGAGAAAUCUACCACGUACAAGUCAUCUUUCCAAUACCCUUCAAAGACUAGAGAUUUGUCAGAUUCCAUUAGAAGAAGGCAACGAUAUUUUCCAAACAUCACAAUCAUGUUCAAAUCGCAAAGCAUUGAGACAGACAUUAAGUUGAAACCAAGGGAUUCAACAAGUGUUAGCAAAUGUGAUGUGACUUUAUCCAUGUGUUGAUCCCUUGAGAUUGCAACUCUACCUAGACCCAAUACCUUGCUUUUACCAGUGUUAGCAAAUGUGAUGUGACUUUUGUCUGAUGGACAUAAGGUUGAGUCCAUGAGAAGACUUCGCUUGCCAGUCAUAUGAUUAGUACACCCACUAUCAAUAAUCCAUUCUGAAGCAGCUGGUGUUGUACCCUAUAGUGCAGUUAGGGGGAUAGGCUUCAGGAAGAGAAUUGUGAAGCAUAAACAUUUGACGAGCAAGUGGAUUAUGAAAGCUUAGAUCGAGGUUAGGACUGAUAGGGCAAGUAGCAAGCGACUCAGGAACAAAAUACAUAAUAAGACCAUUUGGGCAUUUCAUCUUGCGCCCUACAAGAUGUUUAAGGUCCCCAGCAAUAGCUUCAGACGAAUUUGAUUGUUGGCUGGAGACCUUUCCCUGCAAAAGAGAGUUAAGCUUUCUUAGCCACCCACAUCUUCAAGGGUGGCUUCGAAGCAAUGAGUCUAAGUGCAGCAUCUGAGAAUUUUGGCUUUGGAGCCCUAGCAAAAAGUCUCGCAGGUGGACAAUAGUACUCAUAAGAAUAAGCAGAGUAGUUCUUGGUCUUAUGAGCAUGGCGGUUUGAUGAAACACGCUCAUAUUCAUAGGCCUAAGUAUGGCUUUCCUGCAAAACAUUUGCAUUAGUGCGACUCAGGUGAGUCCUUUGUCUGUAUGAAGCCUUUGGACCAUAUGAAGCCUGUGGUCUGGGGUUUGUCUUCUUCACUUGUGGUGUCAUGACGACAUUCACAGGAAGAUUCUCCAACAACCUUUUCGGCACCCAGACUUUCUUCAUAGGUGGCCCAUUCCUACAGUUAGUACCAAUAUACCUGGCAAACACUUCACCAUUCUGAUUCUUAAACAGUUUAUAGUUUGGAUCAAAUGAUUCAUCAAUAACAAUGGGAUUAGCACAAUUGAAGCCUGACAGAGUGGAUGGAUCCACUGAGGGUUCCUUUGCAGCAACCCAUGUGGUUUUGGCGUACUGCUCAGGUUUCCAGUAAGAGCCAUCAGCAUUCAUUUUCCUUUCGAACCCAAGACCCUCCUUUCUAGGGUUUCGGUUCAGGAUCUGCCUUUUGAGGACAUCACAUAGUGUCUGAUGCCCUUUGAGACUUUUGUACAUCCCUGUUUCAAGCAAUGUCUUCAACCUAGCAUUUUCAUCAGCAAUUGCAGUGGUAUCCUCAGCAGAGGGGUUAGUUACCACAUCAACAGUUGAAGAUAUUGCAAUAGUAGCAGCAGUAGAACAUCCAGGAAUAGAAGUAGUGUUGUCACGCUCAAUACAUUUAAGAGAUGGUGGUUCAAAUCCUUCCUAAGCGGGACUGAUCUGUUUGGCACGAAGUGACUCAUUUUCCUUUUGAAGAUCUUCAUGAGCCGCUCUCAAUUUCUCAAGUUCUUGCUUCCUUUGAAGAUAAUCAUAGGAAAGCUUUUCAUGAGUUGUUGAGAGCGAUUCAUGACGACUUUCAAGUUCCUCAUACUUAACAUGAAGAUUUUUUAUGUCUUCAAUUAAGGACUGAGAUCGAGUCAUUUCAGCGUCUAAUAGGUCAUCGCUUUUGUCUAAUAGUUUUAGAAUAUGUUCCAUAGCUUUCUGUUGUCCAGUUGCAAUUUUAGCAAGUGUUUUGUAGCUGGGUUUGGAAACACAAUCAGAGUCAUCUUCACUGGAUGUUUGAUAGUGAGUAGUGCAUGUGUUUACCUUGGCACCACGUGCCAUGAAGCAGUAGGUGGGAGCGGAGUAGUCCUUGUCAUUUGCAUCAGUGUCGGUGAUGAAGUCAUUGUCUUCAGUGUUGAAGAUGGACUUGGCAACGUAUGCUGUAGCCAGGCUCGCAACGCCAGAAUCAGACUCCUCCUCAGAUUCCACCUCCGCCUCCUCAGAAGCGGACUCCUCCUCUGAAUCCAUUUCCUUGCCAACAAAUGUACGAGCCUUGCCAGAUGAGCUCUUCUUGUGUGAUGAAGACUUUUAGGAAGACUUGGAAGAAGACUUUGAGUAUUUCUUCUUCUUGUCGUCAGAAUCAUACUCCUUUCUCUUCUUUUUCUUCUUGUUCUCAUUGUCCCACUACGGACACUCAGAGAUGUAGUGGCCAGGUUUCUUGCACUUGUGGCAUGUUCUCUUCUUAUAAUCAUGAGCAGAAGCUUCAUCAUUCCUUGAGCUUGAUCGUGAAGACUUUCUAAAGCCUUUCUUAUUGGUGAAUUUUUGGAACUUCUUCACAAGCAUAGCAAGCUCCUUUCGAAUGUCUUCAGGAUCAUCGGAACUACUGUCGGAUUCUUCUUCAGAUAAGGAGACAACUUUUGCCUUCAAGGCACGAGUUCGCCCAUAGUUGGGACCGUAGAUGUCUCUUUUCUCAGAAAGCUGAAACUCAUGUGUGUUGAGCCUCUCAAGUAUGUCAGACGGAUCGAGUGUCUUGAAGUCAGGACGGUCUUGAAUCAUCAGGGCUAGGGUGUCAAACAAGCUGUCAUGUGAUCUCAAGAGUGUCUUGAUGACUUCAUGCUUGGUGAUCUCAGUAGCGCCGAGGGCUUGAAGCUCAUUUGUGAUGUUAGUGAGUCGAUCAAACAUGAGCUGGACAUUCUCAUUGUCAUUUCUCUUAAAGCGGUUGAAGAGGUUGCGAAGGACACUGAUUCUCUGAUCUCUCUGGGUUGAGACGCCUUCGUUGACCUUGGAGAGCCAGUCCCAGACUAGCUUAGAUGUUUCCAAAGCAAUCACACGGCCAUACUGUCCUUUGGUCAGAUGACCACAGAUGAUGUUCUUGGCAGUGGAGUCCAGUUGAACGAACUUCUUGACAUCAGCAGUGGUGACACCUUCACCAGCCUUGGGAACGCCAUUCUUGAGGACAUACCAUAGGUCGACGUCAAUGGCUUCAAGGUGCAUGCGCAUCUUAUUCUUCCAGUAGGGAUAUUCAGUUCCAUCGAAGACUGGCACGCAACGGAGACUUUGAUUAUCCCUGCAGUCGACAUAGCUAAAACUCCAGGUGGUUAAACCAAAUCACACAGAACAAGGGAGUACCUUGCUCUGUUACCAAUUGAAAGUGCUAGUGAUCGACUAGGGGGGGUGAAUAGGCGAUUUUUAUGAAAGUCUUCAAAACAUGGAAGUUUUUAAGACAAACGAUAGAAAUAAACCUAUUAUCAUGCAGCGGAAGGUAGACUACCCUAAGCAAGCCAUAGUCAAGUAUUCAAUGAAGUGAAAGUACAACAACUAAUAGCAGCUAGGCAGUAUAGAUCAGGUUGGAAGAUAGUGUGAAGCCAAUCAGAACAAGCGGUCACUCAGUGAAGACAAAAGAUAAUGCAAUCAUACAAUGACUUCACUAGAGCCAACAGUAAGUAAAGGAAUGGGAAGGAUGAAACCAGUGACUCGUUGAAGACAAUGAUUUUUUGGACUAGUUCCAGUUGCUGUACAACUAUACGUCUGGUUAGGGAGGCUGAGAUUCAACUCAGAAGACCGUGUCUUCACCUUAUUCUCCUUGAGCUAAGGACACCAGUCCUCACCCAAUCACUCUGGUAAGUCUUCAAGGUAGACUUCCAAACCUUCACAGACUUCGUUCAUCGGCGAUCCACAAUGACUCUUGGAUGCUCAGAACGUGACGCCUAACCGGCUGGAGGAUUCACAGUCCUCAAGUGUAAUAAGUCUUCUGAUCACACAGAUAGGAAGACUUAAGUGGCCUAACACUCUUUGGCUCUGGGUGUUUAGGGCUUUAUCCUCGCAAGGAAUUCUCUCUCAAAGGCUUCGAGGUGGGUUGCUCUCAAACGGCAGAAGCCAUACACUAACUCUGAGCAGCCAACCGUUUAUGGUUGUAGGGGGUGGGCUAUUUAUAGCCAGUUGGCAACCCGACCUGAUUUGUCCGAAAUGACCCUGGGUCACUAAAGAACUGACACGUGUUCCAACGGUCAAAUUUCAAACACACAUGGCAACUUUGCUUGAGCUACAAGCAAAGCUGACUUACCCAGCUCUGGAUAAGAUUUGCUCUCAUUGUCUUCGCUCGAAGAUAUAUGAUUUUGGUUUAGCAUCACUUCAGUCAUUCUGACUGGUUCACUUGGACCCCACUUAACAGUACAGUGGUUCCUAUGACUCAACAAAGAAGAAAAGGAAUGACGAAUAAACUAAGUCUUCACACUCCAUAGUCUUCACUCGAUGUCUUAUCUUGUCAUAGUCUUCAAUGUGACUGUCUUCACAUACCACCUUUGACUUCAAUGUUUUUAUACAUUUUUAAGGGUCAUCUCUGGUAGGAAAAUUGAAUCAAUGAGGGACUUCUAGCUGUGUUAUCCUGCAAUUCUCACAAACACAUUAGUCCCUCUACCAGGUUUGUCGUCAAUACUCCAAAACCCAGUAGGGGUGGCACUAGAUGCACUUACAUGCUUGUUAUGUUCUUGGACUGUAGCAUCAUUGUUUCAUGCCUCCAGCAUGUCAAUGUGUUAUUCCUGCUCACAUGUAUGCCAUGUUUUUCACUAAGUCAUAAUCUGUGUUAUAAAGUUUCCUUUUGCUUUGCUCAUGUUGGAUUAAUCUUCAUGCCUAUGAACCUGAACCCUAAUGAUAAUUGAAGUAUGUAAUCUAUACCUUAAGUGCAUAUCAUGUUUGUGCCUAUCUUGUUCUUGUAGCAUGUUGUUAUGAUGCUUGUAAGAUGCCUAGUUGCUGUUUUGGACAGCUUGUCCUCUAACCUUGUUUCGUGUGUAUGUGUUGAACCGUGGCUCCGAUUGGAGCAUGCUCUAUAUGAAACUUAGUUGGUUUUGCAUGUAGUUUCAUCAUGCCAUGUUGCUUCCAUGUUUUGGAGUGUUUGUGAUUGUCUUUUGCUUGCAUUUGCAUCAAUGUCAUGUUGACUUGUUUUGCGCAUAUCUUCUAGGCCGUAGCCCCGAAUUAAGUGAACAUUAUAUGUAACUUGAUUAGAAUAGCAUGUAGACCAUCAUGGUGCAUAUUAACUUGCUUUUUAACAACUUCAACAUAUUGUGGUAUUCAGAUCUGAACCAAUUUUGAAAUUUGCAUACGAGGACUUACCGAAAUUGUUAUGUGUUGUUUCCGGUCUCAUUUAAACUUGCUUUGAUGUGUUGUUUUUGUAUGCAUCCUCUCUAUCUGGAAUUGUUAUGUGAUAUUCAGGGAUGUGCACACGGUUAUGUGGCAGAUGGAAAUUUUUUAAUAUCUAGUUGUAGUGGACUUUAACUAAUCUCAAUUAAAAUACAUCAACCGCGUGCGUAACCGUGACGGUCUCUUUUCGAGUGCGUUGAGAAGAGAACACGAUGGAGUUAUAUUUGAAUGUAAGUAGUUCAGGAUCACUUAUUGAUCAUUACUAGUUGUGACCAUCUGCGUAGUUUCUCAUCUUGCUCUUGUACUCAUAAGUUAGCCACCAUAUAAUGCUUAGUCGCUUGCUGCAACCUCACCACUUAUCUAUUCCAUACCCAUUAAGCUUUGCUUAUCAUGAUACCCAUGGUAAUGGGAUUGCUGAGUCCUCGUGGCUCACAGAUUACUUCAACAACAGUUGCAGGUACAGGUAACGUGAUGAUCAUGACGUGAGAGCGAUGUUUAUUUGUUUUGGAGUUCUUGUUCUACUUCUUCUUGGAUCACGGGAUAGGUUCCUGGUCGGCAGCCUGGGCUAGCAGGGUGGAUGUCGUUUGGGUUUCUGUUUGUUUUUCAUUCAUAGUCGGAUGUUGUUCUCAUGUAUGAUGUUUGAUGUAUUUUUGUGGAUUUGUAUGCCUUGUAUGUAUCCCCAACUAUUAUCUAAUGGUGCCAUGUAAUGAUAUGCACCUUGCAAAAGCGUUUCAAUAUGCAGAUCUAUCCUUGGUGGGACCUUCGAGUUCCUCUCGGAUAGGAU
rnacentral:lncRNA from 1 species